UACGGAGGGGGCUAGCGUUGUUCGGAAUUACUGGGCGUAAAGAGCGCGCAGGCGGUCGUGCAAGUCGCGUGUGAAAGCCCCCGGCUCAACUGGGGAGGGUCACGCGAUACUGAUCGACUCGAAGGCAGGAGAGGGUAGUGGAAUUCCCGGUGUAGUGGUGAAAUGCGUAGAUAUCGGGAGGAACACCAGUGGCGAAGGCGACUACCUGGCCUGUUCUUGACGCUGAGGCGCGAAAGCUAGGGGAGCAAACGGG
rnacentral:rRNA from 1 species